CCUGUGCACCGCUUCGUCGCUUCCCGCCUUCGGGCGGGGGGAGGAAAGUCCGGGCAGCAUAGCGUGCCGUGCUUCCUAACGGGAAGGGGCGUCCCUGGGAACGGGGCCGUCACGGAAAGUGCCGCAGAAAGGGAAACUACCCGUCGCAAGACGGGAAAAGGUGAAAAGGUGAGGUAAGAGCUCACCAGCGCUGGUGGUGACAUCGGCGGCUUGGUAAACCCCACGGGCUGAAAGACCAUGUACACCGGGGACCGCUCUUCGGAGCGGAUAGGGUCGCGCGCCCGAAUCCCGGGGGGUGGGUCGAUCGAGGUCCGUCGUGAGGUGGAUCCCAGAUAAAUGACGGAGGCCCCGCGCAAGCGGGGAACAGGACCCGGCUUACAGGUGCACAGGACCU
rnacentral:RNase_P_RNA from 1 species